GUGAGGAAUUUUCCGCAAUGGGCGAAAGCCUGACGGAGCAAUGCCGCGUGAAGGAUGAAGGCCUAUGGGUUGUAAACUUCUUUUCUCAGAAAAGAAUUAUGACGGUAUCUGAGGAAUAAGCAUCGGCUAACUCUGUGCCAGCAGCCGCGGUAAGACAGAGGAUGCAAGCGUUAUCCGGAAUGAUUGGGCGUAAAGCGUCUGUAGGUUGUUUAAAAAGUAUUCUGUCAAAGAUUAGGGCUUAACCCUAGAUAGGCAGAAUAAACUUUUAAGCUAGAGUUUGGUAGAGGCAGAGGGAAUUCCCGGUGGAGCGGUGAAAUGCGUAGAUAUCGGGAGGAACACCAAAGGCGAAGGCACUCUGCUGGGCCAAUACUAACACUGAGAGACGAAAGCGAGGGGAGCAAACAGGAUUAGAAACCCUGGUAGUCC
rnacentral:rRNA from 1 species